ACGAACGCUGGCGGCGUGCCUAACACAUGCAAGUCGAACGGAGAUGCUGAUGAGGAGACUUCGGUCAACGAGUUAGUAUUCUUAGUGGCGGACGGGUGAGUAACGCGUGAGCAAUCUGCCUUCCANAGGGGGGAUAACGUUCUGAAAAGAACGCUAAUACCGCAUAACGUAUGAUGGUGGCAUCACCGACAUACCAAAGGAGCAAUCCGCUGAGAGAUGAGCUCGCGUCUGAUUAGAUAGUUGGUGGGGUAACGGCCUACCAAGUCGACGAUCAGUAGCCGGACUGAGAGGUUGAACGGCCACAUUGGGACUGAGACACGGCCCAGACUCCUACGGGAGGCAGCAGUGGGGAAUAUUGCACAAUGGGCGAAAGCCUGAUGCAGCAACGCCGCGUGAGGGAAGACGGUCUUCGGAUUGUAAACCUCUGUCCUUGGUGACGAACAAAUGACGGUAGCCUUGGAGGAAGCCACGGCUAACUACGUG
rnacentral:rRNA from 1 species